rnacentral:rRNA from 1 species
AGGUAACGGAGCAGUACUAAAGUUGGCUAAUCCUGGUCGGACAUCAGGAGGUUAGUCCAAUGGCAUAAGCCAGCUUGACUGCCAGCGUGACGGCGCGAGCAGCUGCGAAAGCAGGUCAUAGUGAUCCGGUGGUUCUGCAUGGAAGGGCCAUCGCUCAACGGAUAAAAGGUACUCCGCGGAUAACAGGCUGAUACCGCCCAAGAGCUCAUCUCGACGGCGGUGUUUUGCCCCUCGAUGUCGGCCCAUCACAUCAUGGGGCCGAAGUAGGUCCCAAGGGUAUGGCUGUUCGCCAUUUAAAGUGGUACGCGAGCUGGGUUUAGAACGUCGUGAGACAGUUCGGUCCCUAUCUGCCGUGGGCGCUGGAGAACUGAGGGGGGCUGCUCCUAGUACGAGAGGACCGGAGUGGACGCAUCACUGGUGUUCGGGUUGUCAUGCCAAUGGCACUGCCCGGUAGCUAAAUGCGGAAGAGAUAAGUGCUGAAAGCAUCUAAGCACGAAACUUGCCCCGAGAUGAGUUCUCCCUGACUCCUUGAGAGUCCUGAAGGAACGUUGAAGACGACGACGUUGAUAGGCCGGGUGUGUAAGCGCAGCGAUGCGUUGAGCUAACCGGUACUAAUGAACCGUGAGGCUUAACCUU